GAAGUCAGAGAGUCAAGGCUCUUCUUUUACCUUUGGUGGCUGUCUAGUCUCAUGGGAAAGGAUACAAAAUAAUCACAAGACUGAGAUAACCUCUGAACGUUUUGAUUGCACAAAGGAGUGAUGAGGCAGUGCAGAGAACAAGGAACCGGAAACAAGAGCAACCAAAAAAGGAAAGAGAGCACUAUGAGGAGAAGAGGAAGAGGUAGAAGUAUUGGCACU